CCUCAGAAGGAUGCAGCGUUCAAGGUUCUAUCUUGGAAGCAGAGACUGGGCCCUCACCAGAUGCUGAACCUGCUGAGCACCUUGAUCUUCCACUUCACGUUCAUCAGAACUACUGGGGCUGUGGCUGAGAUGUCACAUGGGAGAUAGGAGCAUAAAUUUCUGUUGUAUCUGGAUGGCGAUGAGCGGGAGGAUCUAUGGGUAAGAAGAAUCACAGUUACGGAUGGAUUCUAGAGCCUGCUUGCUGAUACAGGCUUGCAACUGUGGACUUUAUAAGCUUAGUUUUUAAUCUGCUAUCAGCUAGCAUAACACCAUAAAUGCAUAAAAACCUAAAUAUUUAGUCUUAAGAGAAAUGCUGCCUUGACCUGACCCUUUAUCCAAAUAAAUUGACAAAUAUCUCAUUCUCUAGGAUGCCAGACAAAAAUACCAGUUGCAAUGUUUUGUUGCAUACAGCUCAUUCUAAUUUAAAUUAGUGGCAUAUAAAGUCAUCAUCUUGCUUGAACAAACAUCUUAUUAAAUUGAGUAUGUCUUUUAUCCCAUGAAAUAAAAUUAAUUUUGAGAUAGUUAUUUUUCAGUUGCAAAUUUAUUGAGUUAAUAGAAAGCAAGUUAUAUAGUCUUCCAAAUAAUAUGUUACAUCCACUUGCAUUUUGUUUUUCUUCAGCAUUGUGUGGUUUUUAGAAAAUAUUGCAAGUUAAAUAUACUAAAGUGGAAACUGAAAGAAAAUAAUUAGAGAUAGAGCAAUAAAUUUGCAGAUAAAGAUUAUUUUUAAAA